CGCUUAACUAGUGAGCUACCCAGGUGUCCCCUAACAGUUUCUUUAAUCAAAAGGAGGUUCGUUGAGUUUUUGGUUUCUUGGACUCAUCCAAUGCUGCUAGAAGGCUCCUCAACCUUGUUGAUCCAAUAGCACCCUGAAAACUUCUCAAUCUGCUUCUCCUUCGGGUAAUAGGACAGACAGAAGGGAGGUAGACAGACCUCAUGAGUUACAUGCUCAGCUUUGAAUAUCAAAGGAAAAAAGAGGUUCUUGGUAGUCUGUACAAGGCAAAAAUUAUAUCCUGGCUUACAGAGAUAAGAAAGAAGUCUUUAGAUUUUACUAGAGUAUUUAAACAUGGUGGGUUGGAAAGAAUGGAACUAUUUAUUAGUCAUAAUCACAGAAUCUGGAAUUAGAAAGGAAUUUCAAACAUCAGUCAAAGACCACUACAGUCCAAGGAAUAAUUUAUUCCUUUUGCAUUCGCUUAUUGCCAUGCCCACAUGAACACAGCAAGGAAGGCGGAUACUCUGUGCCCAGUUCACAGAAGGCAAAAUCAAGUCUUACAAGACUUACUCAAGUUUGCUGGACACAGAGAGAGAGGCUGAGACACAGGCAGAGGGAGAAGCAGGCUCCAUGCAGGGACCCCGACGUGGGACUCGGGUCUCCAGGAUCACAGCCCAGGAUGCAGGCGGCGCCAAACCGCUGCGCCACCGGGACUGCCCCCUUGUUUUUAUUUUUAAUGCGAAAGCUGAUUCCAAUGAAAAAGUGACUCAAAGAACAAGAGUGUUCCCAAAGUGCUGACUCCUCUUGUCUGGAACGCUGUGCACUGCUCCAUCAUCCUCGCUUCACAGGAAAGAAAAAA